GCGGAUGCGGCACUGAAUGAUCCAGGUGGAGACGCAGCGGCGCUGCUCGGUACGUCAGGAGCACGUCAACGGGACCGGAGCGGUGUCUGUCCGGCUGCAUCAAGUUAAGGUUUCUAAUGCCACAGUAGGUCUGAUGGAGAGUAGAGCAGCUCGUUUAUGUGUCAUAUGUUUAGUACUGAUCCGUUAACCUGUUGAUCUGUUUAAUUUCUCUUGUUUUACUGAUGCUUCCGUUGCACUGCAGUCACUGAUCAGAAACGGAAUGUCGUUCUCUUGCGUAUGAAAAUGCACAGUGCUAAUGACAAUAACACCGUUGAACCUUGAACCUUGAUCUGCUAAAUGAGACCCUUCUCUGGCUGGUCCUGGACAGGUUCUGCCUCUUCUAGAAAAACAACAGCUGUCAGGAUAAAUGCCAAAUGUGCACUGAUAUCCAGUAAAGUGCCUGAAAAAAUCAGAUCAGAGACAGACUUAUUGCCAGAUAUAGCUUACACAAUAAGAGGAAUUAGUUCUGGUGGGUUGGUGCAACAAUACAUAUAGAGUAAGGUCCAAUGGACAAGAUAAAAAUAUAAAAAAAAUAACUUUGAAAAAACAAACAAAAAAGUAAUUACAAAUAACUUUAAUGAUGCAAAGCAGAAGCAAAAAAUAUUGUGGAGUGAAGAAUUAAAGUAAAAUUUAAACCAUAAACUGUAGUAUUAUUUACAGAAUAUUGAUAUUGACAUUUAAACAGAUUAUACAGAGUGCAGAUUGAAGGUGUGGAGGAGCAACAUGACCAACAAAUGGUGCACCUGUCAAAGUAGGGUUACAUACACAUUCCUAUAAAUGUCUCUUAUUUCUGAACUGUCUUCAUGGUUUCCAUCACUAUGUGGCCCAGCCUUUGUCCAAGCCGCUGCCUGAGGAGAACACCUCUAGGAUUGACUUUGGAGGUUGCUGCACUGAAUUCUUUAACUCAUCAUCAUAAUGUCUAAGUUGUAAAUGACUGAAAAAGUCCUUGGCACACAAUAGAUGGACAUACGAAUAUACUUUUGGCAGCAGGCACAAAAGCCAUGACAAAAAAGUGGAGGUGUCACGCCCGCUGCCGCUAGGGCCAGGUAGCGGCAGUCCUUUCUCUCUCUCCCUUUUUUCCUCCUUUCUCUCUCUCCCUCUCCUCUAACUAGGUGGGCGUGAGCUGGUGAUGUGCAUGAAGAGAGCGGGAAGGUGAUCUCAAUCCGCUGAUUACGCUAAUGUGCGUUUGCCGCAGCUGCGUCUCAUCAUGAGACCAGCAUUUAAGCCACGACCAGGCCACUAUUCGUCGCCGGACCGUGAACAGUCCUCACCCGGAUCAUCAGCCACUCCGUCAGCCGGCGACUCCUGACAUUAGGAACCGGAUUCUCCACAUGUCACCUGCCCGCUCUUGUCCACCCGUCAGUCCCGACGCCGCUCCACCACUACGGCUCCGUCAGCUCACCAGCACCAGCUCCGCUCACCUUUCACUCCCUGGCGUCCGCUCCCGGUCUCCGCCUGCCUCUCCACCGCAGCCGCGGCCACGCUGAUCCCUCCGCUCCACCUUCCUCUCUCUGGAUUCCCUGGCGUCUGCUCCCGGUCUUAGUCCGCCUCUCCACCGCAGCCGCGGCAACGCCGACCCCUCUGCACCACCUACCCUCCCUGUUCCCCCUCUCUACUCGGUCGGCUCUUGUCAGGUCUGGUUCUCCCGGUGUGGUUUUUGCUAGCCUGAUAAACUUAGCAUUCCUACUGAGCGUCAGUACUCAGCCCGUCUUAUGUAGCGCUAGCCUUAAGACAAUCUUUAUAGUCUGCCCGUCCGUAUGUCGUGUAAAUCUGUAUAGUGCUUUUAUUCUGUCUGUAUGUAGCGUUAGCUUCUGAGACGUCUUUAGUCUGCCUGUCUGUAUGUCCUGUAUCACCCAGUUCAGGAUAAGUCCGCCAGUCUGUGCGUAGCGCUAGCUUGAUUAGAUAGCUUUUUGGUCUGCUAGCCUUUUCUGUUUGAGUUUCCUCGUUAGCACCUUAUGGUGUCCUCCUUUAGUUGUUCCUCUGUUUAGUUCAGUUUUGGUUUCUCGGUUUCCGACUCGGUGGUACUGAGCUUGGGUCCGUGUCUUUAGUUCUUUUGUUUCAGCCAACCUAGUUUAGUUUGCCCUGCCUGCAAACCUUUGAGUUCUGUACUUAUCUUCUGUGUGUUCAAUAAAUCAUUGUUUAUAAAC